GUCCAGGUGUGGCCGUAUCGCCCCUGGCAUAGAGUAUGUGGAGUCCAGGCGUGGCCGUAUCGCCCCUGGCAUAGAGUAUUGUUGACUUGUUAUGGUAUGAGAUUGAGAUGUAGAGGGCUAUUGGUGACAGAUUCAUCCUUGAGGUGAUAUAUUUGUGAUGUGACGCAUUCCAUGAUAGCAUACGUUUAAGUGAACUGUUUUCUUUUAUGGUUUCUGCUCACUGGGCUUUUUAGCUCAUCCCUCUCCCCUAACCCCAGGUUUGCAGGGUCAGAG
rnacentral:lncRNA from 1 species